rnacentral:rRNA from 1 species
UACGUAGGUGGCAAGCGUUGUCCGGAUUUACUGGGUGUAAAGGGCGUGUAGCCGGGUUGACAAGUCAGAUGUGAAAUCCUGCGGCUUAACCGCAGAACUGCAUUUGAAACUGUUGAUCUUGAGUACUGGAGAGGCAGACGGAAUUCCUAGUGUAGCGGUGAAACGCGUAGAUAUUAGGAGGAACACCAGUGGCGAAGGCGGCCUACUGGACGGUGACUGACGCUGAGGCUCGAAAGCGUGGGGAGCAAACAGG